ACUGGGUUGGAAACUGCCUUGGAGUGGUAGACUUCAUGGAGGGCAGCCUGUAGAGUGGUUUGGGUUAAGGCUAAAGCUGAGGCAUAAAGAGCUGUCUGUUUGAUGUAUGUACUGAGGAUACAGCUAUGUUCUACACUAAUAUUAAACUCCCGUGUUUCCCUUCAGCCCAUUGUUAAACGUGGGAUAUGAUGGUGUUACACUGGAAAUUUUUGUGGCACUUAUGUAAAGAGUAUAUGAAGAGCUACUUGUAUGUAUGUUGUUUACUCAUUCAUGACAAAAUAUCCACACAUUUAUGUAUACAGAAUUUAACUGUCUUGUUUGGGGAAUCUGUUCACAAUAAUUAUACGGUUAUUUAAUUAAUUACCUAUGUAUUUACUUUUAAGUAUCUGUAACAGUGUAUUUCUUCCAGACAAAAAUAUCUUUUUGCUUGGGGUUGCACAACACUCAAGUUAAUGAAACCUGGAUGGUUAAACCAUGGAGUUCAUUGUGCAGGGUGAUGUAUGUGCCUGGUUAGAGCAGUGGUCAGACAACAUCACAGGCAAAAAAGUACCACAGGGAUCUUUUAAACAUAAAGAUAAAACUUCAGCUAUUUCUGGGCUGCUUGUGAGAGGAAGCGGGAUAAACAUCACUGUAUAUUUGCCCUACUGCUGUAAUCUUUCCCCUGAGCUUUAUUAUUAACCAGUGUUAGAUACAGGACAUUGGGCUGUGGGUCUGUCCCAGUACAGCCAUCCUUGUGUUCUGUAGCUGGAUACAUGCUUAAGGGUACAUGCCAUUGGUAUCUCUGGAACAAACCUCUUCAGUUUAUCUUGGAGAACUAGAUGUGCUGCUUUGGCAAAACUGACAUACCUUCUUGAAAUCUUUUAACUGAGGGAAAAUGGUGGGGUGAUGAUGAAAUCUAGCUUUCUGCCUUUUUUUCAUAUGCUGCUAACAUGCUUCAGACACUUUAACUGAAGCAGCUCAGAAUUGUUCUCAGAUCCAAAGGUUUUUGAUUGGUGAGCAUGAGGUAACUUCAUUUGGAACUUGGUUUUGGAGUGUCAUCACUUGAAAAGCGAAUGGAAAAAUAAAUCUGCUUUAGAUUAAAGUAUUUAGUGUAUUGAGCAUAUGAGCAGCUUAAUUUCUCAAUGUUGUUUGUAUCAGCAGGGUGCUUUAUUCAGCUUCAAAAGCCAAGGAGAUGUAGAUUAACUUUGCCUGUGGUCCUUUGUAUCUUUGCAAAGCAAGAUAAAUUUGUCCUUCAAGGGUUGUAGUUCUUUUUGAGUGAUUUUCUAGCCUUUUACAUUCACCUUACUAAAGUUGUAAGCAGUUAAAAUAUCACAGCCAAGAAGGUCCAUUUCAGGACCCCUUCUAUGUGGUGUAGUGAAAAAGAUAAAGCUGGUCACCUUGUAAUGGAAGAAAAUGGAGCUGACCAUGACAUUGCUAUGGAAGGAUCUAAUGAUUUGUUCAUAGGCAACUGUAAUGGUACAGGAGAGUCAGAAACAAAGGAUCAAGUUUUUCAGCAUUUAACCUGCAUGGAUUCCAGGGAUCCAUUGUUUGGACAGUGUGACUCUCCUCCAGUCUUACCCAUCACAGUACACGUCUUGGGCUCUCCGUCAUCAGCUGUGCCUGCCCUGCCACCCCAGCCUCACUCCACAGAGGACUCCCACCUGGUGGACCAAACGGGGCAGCCUCUCUAUGAGCUGCAGCCCCUCGGAGGGCCCACUGCACCGAUGAUGAUUGUUGCCAGCCAGUCAGAAAAUGGACAGGUGCUGCAUGUCAUCCCUACUACCCAGCCAGGAAUGGCCCAAGUGAUUAUUCCUCAAGGCCAACUUUUGGAUGUGACCAGCACGCAGGAUGUUUCAGAGGAGAAGUGUGGUGAUGGGAACUUGCAGACUGUAGUGGUGGCCGCUAUAGCAGACAGUGGAAGCAGUUACAUUCUACAUCCACAGGCGUCUCUCACUGUAUCAAAAAAAACAACCACCAGGCUAGUGGAAGAUCCCUUUCCCAUCCCUCUCCAGCUGUUGCCACCAAAUACACCUGCAUGGGCACGCCGUCUCAGGAGCUGUGAGAAAAUUGGGGACUCAUACCGCGGCUAUUGUGUGAGCGAGACAGAAUUAGAGAGUGUUCUAACACUACACAAGCAGCAAACACAAAGUGUGUGGGGGACGCGCCAGUCUCCAAGCCCAGCCAAACCCGCCACACGGUUGAUGUGGAAAUCUCAGUAUGUCCCAUAUGAUGGGAUCCCCUUUGUCAAUGCAGGAAGCAGAGCCAUUGUAAUGGAGUGCCAAUAUGGGCCAAGGAGGAAAGGGUUCCAGCCCAAAAAAGCUGGUGAGCAGGAAGGCACCUCUUGCCAUCUGUACAAAGCCACUUGUCCAGCAAGGAUCUAUAUUAAAAAGGUUCAGAAGUUUCCGGAAUACAGGGUUUCUACUGACCCUAAAAUUGACAAGAAAAUCAUAAGAAUGGAGCAGGAGAAAGCAUUCAACAUGCUGAAGAAGAACUUGAUAGAUGCUGGUGGUGUCCUCAGGUGGUAUGUACAGUUACCCACUCAGCAAGCCCACCAAUAUCAUGAAAUGGAAACAUCCUGCCUCCCUUCUUCACCCUCCCAAUUUUCUGUGCCUUCUCCUGAGGAGGAGGAGGAAGUUCUUGGAGAUGAGAACUGUAUUCUGCCUUCCCGACUUCAUCCUCAAGUAGCAGACAAGAUCCGAGAACUGGUGUCUCAGGGAAUAGAGCAGGUCUAUGCAGUGAGGAAGCAACUGAGAAAGUAUGUGGAAAGAGAAUUAUUCAAGCCUGAUGAAGUGCCAGAAAGACAUAACCUGUCCUUCUUCCCCACUGUGAAUGACAUCAAGAACCACAUUCAUGAAGUGCAGAAGUCCCUCAGGAACGGCGAGAUGGUGUAUAAUUCAGGAAGUAUCCCAGCAACACUGCAGUGGACCACAGACAGUGGGAAUGUUCUCACAGAAACAGUGACUGUUACAUUUGCCUCUCCACCUUCAGAUGGGAGCUCAGAAGGGGAGUCACUUGUCACCAAAGCAGAAGCCAGUCAGAGUGGGGAGUCCUUGCUACCAGAAACAGCUCAGCUAUUAUCUUCCCUCUCUUCACUUCAACCCAAGAUAUUUGCACAACUUCAGGGAUUACAGCUGCAGUCAACUUUUACCUCCACAAAUGGAUCAACAGCCCUGAUAGCUGUAAAUAACCAUUCCUCUCCCAGCCCUGCAAGUCUCCUAGAUUCCACAGGGAGUGCAGUAACCAACCAUCCUCUAUUACUUAGUCAGGGACACAGUCUGCAAGCAGGUGCUGGCCUAACACAGCAUAGCACUACUACCUCUGCUUUUGGGACUCCACCUGGCCCCGAUCAGAAUCUGGUCACCAUGAGCCAGUUGGUAGCAGUUGGAGGGGUGGAUGACUCCAGAAGCCUAGGAGGAGGAGUCCGUCAGAUUCUCUUGGGAGAUGUACAGACUAUUCCAGUACGGAUUGUGGACAGCCAUCCAGCACUUGCUGAAGAAAAUGCAGAGGGAGUUAUCUGUGUGAGCCAAGUUAAACAAGAGCCAAGAGAAAAAGUAUUGUCUGUGGAGCCAGAUAAAAUCAGAGGCUGCCGUAGUUCCUCACCUGUUUAAAUCUGUGAAGGCUGGAAGGAUUUUUCAAAUCGGAGAACUCCACAUGGAAGGUGCUCUCAAAGUAAUGCCAUUCUUUUUAAAUCGUACUGGGACAUUCAGACUAGGCAUAUUUUUACAGUAGUUCUGACAGCAAUUUUGAUUUAUGACUGAUGUGGCUCACUGCCAAUGCCAGGUCAUUCAGUUGCCCUGUGGAACAGCACCUCUCACUUCUGUUUCAAGCUUUUGAGUAAUUGGAUGUUAUCCAAAUGGCCCAUUUUGGUCAACAUUUCUGAAGGUCUUCCACAGUUUAAUUCCUUAGUUUUAGAAUAUGGAUCACAGUACUGGGUUUACUUUUCUCCUUGAGACUUUCGACUCUUACGGCACUACAGAGACCAUCGAUUCUGCCAGCUCCAAGACCACAGAAUCCAACAGCACAGUGUAUCUAUACAGCAGUGGUUUUGUGACAAAAUGAAGGUCCAAGAUGCUAAAUUUCAAACUGAUGAAGGACAUAGAUGCUUAAGCAAAUGCAACUUUGACCUGAUCAUAAUGUUAAUGGUGUGAAGAUCAAGGAGAGGAGAAAGUAUUGAAAGCUAAGCCUUUCAAAAGUUUCCCAUUGAACUGGGUUCCCAGUGCAGCAUCUGUUAGUAAUGGUCUGUGUUGUGGUUAUGGGGGCCCAUGGGGAGAAAUGCAAGAGCUACGUCAGGGCAGUGGUUUCUGGGAAUGAAGGAGAACAAAUAGAACAACACCAGGGAGACCAGGCAGAAGAAGUUCCUGAAGGUGUGUGAAAAGCAAGGGUUCUGUGGGGAAGGGCUGGAGUGGGCUGUGCUCCGGGGGUUCUGGGGCCCUGGAGGGCGGUUGUGAGCACAUCGAAAAGGCUCAGUGCAGCUAGCUCCUCAGGCUAUGCCAGUGGUGCAUAGGGUGAGUUUGUGGUAGGAAUUUAAAGGAAUGGAAGAGUCCUGCCCCAAAAACCCACAAAGCGGCUUGAGUUUUGGUGAGUGCCAGAGGCAGGUAAAUGAUUUCCCAUAGUCUGAGAUGCCCAUUCUUAUCUUGUAAUAUGAAGAAAAAAAUACCUCUUGGAGAUUCAACCCCGCAGCAUAGAUUCUUUUGCUUUACACAUUAGUACAGAAAAUACACCUUUUCUUCCCAACUGAAUUAGCUUGCUGCUGUCAUCCCUCUGGCUGCAGCUCUACCUACCUCAAGCAUGGACCACCCAGGUCUCUUUUCCUUCACACUUCCACCCAAGCCCUAUGUCCUCAGGCCCUCUGGUUCUCCGUGUUUCACUGUUGCACUGUUGGAGCUGCUGGUGAGUUCACAAGUAAAUAGUAGUGACAUUUGCUCAGUUUUUCUUCCUGUCUCCCCAGGAUCCUAAGUGCAUAUGUUCCUUUUAAUUGGAUUAAGUAUUUUCCUUGCUUUGGGGCUUAUCUUCUUUACCUGGAUGAAUAUCAGGCAGCCACAUUUCACAGGACACUCUUCGCAUUCACAGCAACUGAAAAAAACUGAGAAAACAAUGAGAAAAUUGUAGUUGCUGACAGGUCUUAAGACUUUGUAUUGAGAAACUGGCCUCUUGCCUUUCACAUUCGAGUGUCUGAUUCUGGCUGUGGAUAGUAGCUGGCUGUUGACUUGUCUGUUGGCAAACUCACAAUUUGCUGCCUUAAUCCUGUUCGAACAGGUAUGUUCUCAGAAGAUUAGGCAGGAAUAAUCUGUUCUAUUAGGGAUAGAAAGUGUGAUACAGCUGAGGAUGGUGCUGUGAAAAGUUACUGCUCUUUGUGGAUCUGUGGUGAGAAAAUUCUCCUUGAACUGCCCUUCCUUUCUGAAAAAAGCUUUCACAGGCAUCAGCUUCAGAGCCAUCUGUAAUGGUAUCCCAUCAGUAAUGAUCAUCUUCUCCUAGCAACAGUGCACUUCAUUAAUGAUGAAACAAGCAUUGUGUAAAACAGGCUGUGUUGAUUUUUUUUUUUUAGGUCAGAAGCUACCCAGCAAGUCUCUCCAACAAGCAACAACUAAGCUGUUCUCUCUGCUUGCCCCCUCAAGAAGUUGUACAAGCCUUCAAGGGACGUGGAGAUCA